AGUGAACGCUGGCGGUAGGCCUAACACAUGCAAGUCGAACGGCAGCACAGUAAGAGCUUGCUCUUACGGGUGGCGAGUGGCGGACGGGUGAGGAAUACAUCGGAAUCUACUUUUUCGUGGGGGAUAACGUAGGGAAACUUACGCUAAUACCGCAUACGACCUACGGGUGAAAGCAGGGGAGCUUCGGACCUUGCGCGAUAGAAUGAGCCGAUGUCGGAUUAGCUAGUUGGCGGGGUAAAGGCACACCAAGGCGACGAUCCGUAGCUGGUCUGAGAGGAUGAUCAGCCACACUGGAACUGAGACACGGUCCAGACUCCUACGGGAGGCAGCAGUGGGGAAUCUUGGACAAUGGGCGCAAGCCUGAUCCAGCCAUACCGCGUGGGUGAAGAAGGCCUUCGGGUUGUAAAGCCCUUUUGUUGGGAAAGAAAAGCAGCAGGUUAAUACCCCGCUGUUCUGACGGUACCCAAAGAAUAAGCACCGGCUAACUUCGUG
rnacentral:rRNA from 1 species